rnacentral:rRNA from 1 species
AGAAGCUGACGUACGAGGAUGGGCCUGCGUCCUAUCAGCUGGUUGGUGGGGUAGUGGCCUACCAAGGCGACGACGGGUAGCUGGUCUGAGAGGAUGAUCAGCCACACUGGCACUGGAACACGGGCCAGACUCCUACGGGAGGCAGCAGUGAGGAAUUUUGCGCAAUGGCCGCAAGGCUGACGCAGCAACGCCGCGUGGGUGAUGAAGGCCUUCGGGUCGUAAAGCCCUGUCAGGUGGGAAGAAAGGCCUGGAGAGGAAAGGUUUCAGGUUUGACGGUACCACCAGAGGAAGCACCGGCUAACUCCGUGCCAGCAGCCGCGGUAAUACGGAGGGUGCGAGCGUUAUUCGGAAUUACUGGGCGUAAAGCGCGUGUAGGCGGGGGGACAAGUCUGGUGUGAAAGCCCUGGGCUUAACCUGGGAAGCGCAUUGGAAACUGUUUUUCUUGAGUACUGGAGAGGAAGGGGGAAUUCCCGGUGUAGAGGUGAAAUUCGUAGAGAUCGGGAGGAAUACCAGUGGCGUAGGCGCCCUUCUGGACGGUAACUGACGCUGAGACGCGAAAGCGUGGGGAGCAAACAGGAUUAGAUACCCUGGUAGUCCACGCUGUAAACGAUGAUCACUAGGUGUAGCGGGUACUCAUUCCUGCUGUGCCGCAGCUAACGCG